rnacentral:rRNA from 1 species
AUUGAACGCUGGCGGCAUGCCUUACACAUGCAAGUCGAACGGCAGCACGGGUGCUUGCACCUGGUGGCGAGUGGCGAACGGGUGAGUAAUACAUCGGAACGUACCUUAUCGUGGGGGAUAACGCAGUGAAAGCUGUGCUAAUACCGCAUACGCCCUGAGGGGGAAAGCGGGGGAUCGAAAGACCUCGCGCGAUUAGAGCGGCCGAUGCCUGAUUAGCUUGUUGGUGGGGUAAAAGCCCACCAAGGCGACGAUCAGUAGCUGGUCUGAGAGGACGAUCAGCCACACUGGGACUGAGACACGGCCCAGACUCCUACGGGAGGCAGCAGUGGGGAAUUUUGGACAAUGGGGCAACCCUGAUCCAGCAAUGCCGCGUGAGUGAAGAAGGCCUUCGGGUUGUAAAGCUCUUUUGUCAGGGAAGAAACACCGGCUCUAACACAGUCCGGGAAUGACGGUACCUGAAGAAUAAGCACCGGCUAACUACGUGCCAGCAGCCGCAGUAA